UACAUGUGGGGCAAGCGUUGUUCGGAAUUACUGGGCGUAAAGGGCGCGUAGGCGGCGUGGUAAGUCAGCUGUGAAAUCUCCGAGCUUAACUCGGAACGGUCAGCUGAUACUGCUGUGCUAGAGUACAGAAAGGGCAAUCGGAAUUCUUGGUGUAGCGGUGAAAUGCGUAGAUAUCAAGAGGAACACCUGAGGCGAAGGCGGGUUGCUAGGCUGAUACUGACGCUGAGUGCGCGAAAGCUAGGGUAGCAAACGGG
rnacentral:rRNA from 1 species